UGUUUACAAGUCCUUUCAAGUGUGAUUA
rnacentral:piRNA from 1 species